GACAGAGGUGCCGAGCGUUAUGCGGAAUCACUGGGCUUAAAGCGUGUGUAGGCGGGUCGUUAAGUGUCUUGUGAAAUCCCACCGCUCAACGGUGGAACCGCUGGGCAUACUGGCGAUCUUGAGCAGUCCAGGGGCGAGCGGAACAAGCGGUGGAGCGGUGAAAUGCGUAGAUAUCGCUUGGAACGCCGACGGUGAAAACAGCUCGCUGGGGACUCGCUGACGCUGAGACACGAAAGCCAGGGGAGCGAACGGG
rnacentral:rRNA from 1 species